rnacentral:lncRNA from 10 species
GGGUAAUGAAGGUCAGAGAUGGGGGCUUGAACCACCUGCCUGUGGUUUUGAGGUUUCCCCAAAUACUCUAUGGUUGUUAAGUUCCAUAAGAAAGGGACUUGUUUUUCAUUUUUAUUUUCUUUCCAACUUUUAUUUUAGGUUUGGGGGAUACGUGCGCAGAUUUGUUUCAUGGGUAAAUUGCAUGUUAUGGGGCUUGGUGUCCAGAUUAUUUCAUCACCCAGGUAAUGAAUGUAGUACCUGGGCUUGUUUCUGAGAGUGUGCACGGAGAUUGAAGGGCAGGGGCUCAUGUGACAGUGUGAAGCAGGAAUUCUGACCGUUGGCCAAACCAAGCCCUGAAACUCAAGUUCUGUUUGGGAGUGAGAGGCAGAAAGCCUUGGAGGCAGCUUCAAUUAGAAGCUAAUUUUACUAAUUAGAAAAUUGGUAUCAGAAGGACGAUUGAACGUGUCCAAGGUCACACAGCCAGUAAGGAGAGGGGCCUGGACUGGAGCAGACCUGUCUGAUUCACUCAGACAGGACUGGAGCAGACCCUUGCUUUGUUCACUCAAUAGUUUUUUCCAAAGGCUUUUUAAGAAGAGGACUUUGGAGUUGUAAAGAAUUUAGAUACGUGGAAAUGAGAGAAAGGCCUUCCAGGCAGAGGAAACAGGAUGAACAAAGUCUUGGCAGUCCCUCCUGGAGAUGAAGAAAGAGUUCAGUCACCCUGCUGAGGAGAGAAAAGGCCAUUAUUGUCAAAAGAAGGCACCUGUCCUAGAUUUAAGGGAGGUGCGUUAUCCUGGAUGGUUUCUAGGCCUCAGUGGGAUGGUCUGAUGACUUCGUCUCACCCCCCAGGUACCUAGGAAGGUGAUGAAUGUGAAGGUGGAUUCUUCAUGGAGCUCCACACUCAGGAUCUGAGAUGUGGUCUUGCCCUGUUGUCCAGGCCGGAGCACAGUGGUGCAAUCCUACCUCACUGCACCCUCUAACUCCUGGACUCAAGUAAUCCUCCUACCUCAACCUGCACGUAGCUGAGACUCCAGGCGUGAGCCAUCGUGCCUGGCUAUUUUUUGUAUUUUAAUUUUCUGUAGAGAUGGGGUCUCGUCAUAUUGCCCAGAUUGGUCUUGAACUCCUGGCCUCAAGUGAUCCUCCCACCUCAUCCUCCCAACCCCGUUUCUUUUCAGUCAGACAACCAGCCUGGUCUUUAUUACACUGGUUCAGAGUCAGCUGGAAAAGAAUUCUCUUUUCCUGGGCCAGGCAAUCAGUGUUCAAGUCCCAGUGGGAUCUCAUUCGAGUCAUGUGACUUUGGGCCGGUUCUUCACCUCUGAGAACCUCAGUUUCUCCACCUGUAAAAUGGAUGUGGCACUAGAGCCUGUACCACUUGCCUUGUAGGGAUGUGGCAAGUCUCAAAGGUGGUGAUAUAAGGGGAGCGUUGGGUAAACUGUAACUCUCAGCUAUCUGAAUGUGCGCCUGUUCUCUCUCACGUUAGGAACCGUAGCAAGGCACUAGAAGAGGUUAUAUUUUAUAUAUAUAUUAUUUUUUAUAUUAUUAUAUAUUAAUGUUAUACAAAAUACAUUAUAAAUGUAAAUUAUAUUAUUAUAUAUUAAUGUAAUACAAAUAUUACAUUUUAUCUACAAAUCAUUUGGCUGAGCCUUGGAUGUCAAUUGGGCUGUUUAAUGCCCUGACGAAGAUCUCUUAUACAUCCAUAUGAGAAAGGGUUUCUAUACUGGAAGAUACUGCCUCUCUUUUUACAUGCAAGGACCUUGCUAAAGUGCAGUUUCUGAUUCACUGGGUCUGAUGCAGGACUGGAGAUUGAUUCUGCAUUUUCCUCAAACUCCCAGGUCAUACCCAUGCUGCAGGUAUCACAUUUAGUAGCAAGAAUGUAGGAAACAUGGUCUUUUCUGGUGGCUCUCUUGAUGUUUUGCUACACUUGUAUUUACUUGUCUCAACUAGACUCCACCUCCUGCAGUCUCACAUGACCCAUGCAACUCAACGGAAGUCAUACAACAAUCACUAGCAGUAAGUACCCGCAGCUGUAGAAACAAACAAACAAAUGAAAAAACCCAAACAAUAACAUUUGCACAAGGACCCAAACUUGGCAGUGCACCUAGAAGAGUUUGUAGCGUACCAUUGGUUAUAAACAUUGUACAACACAAACCUAAACUAUUACAUUUGUGAGGGGAUAGGUUGCCAUUUCCCUUGCUUGUUUAUGAGCAAAAACUUGAGAGCUGCAUUAUUUUUGCCUUCCCAGAUAGCACUGACCCUCAGUAAAUGUUUGAUGAGCUAAAAGUGCCUUUAGUGAGUGGGAAAUUAAGCAAGGCCCUUGAUUGUACAUCUAUUGCUCCAAACUUCAGAAAAACCAAUCAUAACUUUUACAGAACAUCUCCUCCCUAUGCUGCUUUAUUUCUUUCCAUACAUAGCUGAACUCAUCACCUGAGACUCAACUUCCACCCAUCUUGUCCUAUAAGUUCAGAUUUAUAAGGGCAGGGCAGGCAAAGAAGCCCUUAGACUUUGCUUGUUGGUCUCUCCUGUAACCCUGAAAUAACCACGUUUACCACGUUUAUUCCCAAAGCUCAUAUUGAGUUCAAAUCCCCUGUUACUCAUUUAGAGAGACAAGUGGCAUUCAUCAUUUUUGCCUCUCUGUGUCUUCCUCUCCCCCAGAACAAUGGCAUUACAUGACGAUUAACUCCUUUUGAUAUAAACAAGUCCAAUGGCAGAGUGUUGGAUGACUCAGAAAACCCAGGCAUUGAAAGAUGCAAAAUAUUUUAUUGUGUUCUUGCAUUAUGAAGCAUUGGGGAGUGUUAAGCAUUUUUCUUUGAUUUUUCUCUCCCUCCCUCCCUCCCUCCCUU